GAUGAACGCUGGCGGCGUGCUUAACACAUGCAAGUCGAACGAUGAAGCCCAGCUUGCUGGGUGGAUUAGUGGCGAACGGGUGAGUAACACGUGAGUAACCUGCCCUUAACUCUGGGAUAAGCCUGGGAAACUGGGUCUAAUACCGGAUAGGAGCGUCCACCGCAUGGUGGGUGUUGGAAAGAUUUAUCGGUUUUGGAUGGACUCGCGGCCUAUCAGCUUGUUGGUGAGGUAAUGGCUCACCAAGGCGACGACGGGUAGCCGGCCUGAGAGGGUGACCGGCCACACUGGGACCGAGACACGGCCCAGACUCCUACGGGAGGCAGCAGUGGGGAAUAUUGCACAAUGGGCGCAAGCCUGAUGCAGCGACGCCGCGUGAGGGAUGACGGCCUUCGGGUUGUAAACCUCUUUCAGUAGGGAAGAAGCGAAAGUGACGGUACCUGCAGAAGAAGCACCGGCUACUACGUG
rnacentral:rRNA from 1 species